rnacentral:rRNA from 1 species
UACGUAGGGGGCUAGCGUUGUCCGGAAUCAUUGGGCGUAAAGAGCGUGUAGGCGGUCCGGUAAGUCCGCUGUGAAAGUCGGGGGGCUCAACCCUCGAAUGCCGGUGGAUACUGUCGGGCUAGAGUGCGGAAGAGGCGAGUGGAAUUCCUGGUGUAGCGGGUGGAAUGCGCCAGGAUAUCAGGAGGAACACCAAUAGCGAAGGCAGCUCGCUGGGACGUUACUGACACUGAGGCGCGAAAGCGUGGGGAGCGAACAGG